AGGUGUCAAAUGCUUCCAGUGAGGAUUUAUUUGUUGAGGGGACACCAUCACAGAUAAAGACAUAUGUGAAUCAUAAAAAGCAGAAUCAAUGUGAAAUGCUUGAAGAAUCAAACAAAGUGGAUUCUACAAACCUCACUGAAAAAUUUAGUGAGAAACCAGUUCAUUCAGUUUCAAACAAUUUUGAACAACAUUCUGUAACAGAGAGCACCAACAUGGAGCAUGAACAUAUACAAAAAGUUACCACUAGAACGGAAAAUACUGAAAAUAAAAAUUGUGAUCAAAGUGAAAUAGUCGAAAGUUCACAAAGUGAAACUGAUGAAAGUGAAAAUUACUGUUUUUCUUCAUCACUAUUAACUCCUCAUCAAAACCAAGUUACUCGGCUACGUACUAUCAAAUCUAAAUAUUCCAUUCUCCAAAACGGUGGGCAAUCAUAUUUCUCAUCUUAUUGUUUCAAACUCAGGAGGAUAUGCUCAGCAUUCGCACAAGUUUCUUCUAGCUAUGGCUUUGCACAAACAAAUUAUUAAGUAUGACUGGAUUGAACAAGUAAUCAAGACACGGAGGCUAGUACCGCUGGAAGACUACUUGGCAGUUGACCGUAAUGGCGUGUGCGGAGUUUUGAGGGCCAAAGAAGAUGUAAAGAGAGAACUUUUGCAAAAUUUUGCAAUUCAUAUUUACAACACUAUAGACAAAGAAAUACAAAGGCAUCAGAUUGAGG